CCUACGGGAGGCAGCAGUGGGGAAUAUUGCGCAAUGGGCGCAAGCCUGACGCAGCGAUGCCGCGUGAGGGAAGAAGGCUUUCGGGUUGUAAACUUCUUUGACCAGGGAAGAGCAGAAGACGGUACCCUGAAAACAAGCCCCAGCUAACUAAGUGCAGGAAGCCCCGGUAAUCCGGAGGUAGCAAGCGUGGUCCGGAGUUACUGGGGGUAGAGGGCGCGUAGCCGGGAAGGCAAGUCAUAGGUGAAAUCCGGGGGCUCAACCUACGAAUUGCCUGUGACACUGUGUUUCUUGAGUAUUGGAGAGGCAGACGGAAUUCCUGGUGUAGGGGUGAAAUGCGUAGAUAUAAGGAGGAACACCAGUGGCGAAGGCGG
rnacentral:rRNA from 1 species